CAGCGGUUGAGACAUCGCUUGCCGUAGAACAUAGUUCUGACAGACAAUUGCAAAUCUGGGUCCUGGCUCUCUCUGUGUGUUUUGCCUCCACCAUCGGCACCUUCCCGGCAGUGAAUGAGGAUGUCAAGUCUACCAUCGCUGAUGGAGGCACCUGGUGUGUGUGUGUGUGGUACAUGUAUAUGUGUAUGAAUAUCUAUGAUAAGAGCAUGGUUUAUGAGUCCAUAUUAGAGUAUGUGACUUGUCAUCUUGCAAGCCUUUACAAAAGUAUCAUGUUCAAUAAUUCACAAUCAAU
ensembl:lncRNA